rnacentral:misc_RNA from 1 species
GUGAAUCAUCAAAUCUUUGAACGCAAAUUGCACUCUCCUCGGAGAGUAUGCCUGUUUGAGGGUCAGCCUAUAAAAAUCGACAUCGUUGCUGUUUCGCGGUGGCGUUCGUCGGAAAUUGGGUCAUCUUAAAUCCUUUUUCUUUACGCGACUUAUAAUUUUCUUUUGUUUCCAUGCACGUUUCUAAUAUCUCUUUCUUUACUCGUUUACUGUAUCGUUUUUUACUUGACGUCCCCAUCAUAUCGGA